rnacentral:rRNA from 1 species
CACGUAGGGCGCAAGCGUUGUCCGGAAUUAUUGGGCGUAAAGAGCUCGUAGGCGGCUCGUUGCGUCGGCUGUGAAAACCCGCAGCUCAACUGUGGGCUUGCAGCUGAUACGGGCGGGCUGGGAUUCGGUAGGGGAGACUGGAAUUCCUGGUGUAGCGGUGAAAUGCGCAGAUAUCAGGAGGAACACCGGUGGCGAAGGCGGGUCUCUGGGCCGAUAUCGACGCUGAGGAGCGAAAGCGUGGGGAGCGAACAGG